ensembl:misc_RNA Y_RNA Y RNA
GGCUGGCCUGAAGGUAGUGAAUUAUCUCAAUUGAUGGUUCAUAGUCAGUUACAGAUGGAAUUCCUUGUUCUACUCCUUCCCUCCUUCUGCCUACUACACUUGACUAGUCUUCA